rnacentral:snRNA from 1 species
UUACUUACCUGGCGUAGAGGAUACCGUGAUCAUGCAGGCGGUUCCCCCAGGGCGAGGCUGCUCCAUUGCGCUGCGGAGUAGUUGACCCUUGCGAUUAUUUUUAUUUUUAUCAAUAAAAAAUCAUAAUAAAAAUUGUUUACCCGAAUAAAUAUUUUCUUUAUAC